GGAGAGGAUUAGGGGUUAUAUGGGAACUCUGUACUUUGUGCUCAAUUUUGCUGGAAACCUAAAACUGCUCUAAAAAAUAAAGUCUA